rnacentral:rRNA from 1 species
UUAAAUUGAAGAGUUUGAUCAUGGCUCAGAUUGAACGCUGGCGGCAGGCCUAACACAUGCAAGUCGAACGGUAACAGGAAGCAGCUUGCUGYUUUGCUGACGAGUGGCGGACGGGUGAGUAAUGUCUGGGAAACUGCCUGAUGGAGGGGGAUAACUACUGGAAACGGUAGCUAAUACCGCAUAACGUCGCAAGACCAAAGAGGGGGACCUUAGGGCCUCUUGCCAUCGGAUGUGCCCAGAUGGGAUURGCUAGUAGGKGGGGUAAMGGCUCACCUAGGCGACGAUCCCUAGCUGGUCUGAGAGGAUGACCAGCCACACUGGAACUGAGACACGGYCCAGACUCCUACGGGAGGCAGCAGUGGGG